rnacentral:sRNA from 1 species
UACUCGACAGCUGUCUAUGUGGUGUGA